UACGGAGGAUGCAAGCGUUAUCCGGAAUUAUUGGGCGUAAAGCGUCCGUAGGUGGCCGUUCAAGUCUGCUGUCAAAGGCUGGGGCUUAACUCCAGACAGGCAGUGGAAACUGAACAGCUAGAGUGUGGUAGGGGUAGAGGGAAUUCCCGGUGUAGCGGUGAAAUGCGUAGAGAUCGGGAAGAACACCGGUGGCGAAAGCGCUCUGCUGGACCACAACUGACACUGAGGGACGAAAGCCAGGGUAGCAAACGGG
rnacentral:rRNA from 1 species